rnacentral:lncRNA from 1 species
UAUUAACAUUUUUAAAAGGAAAAACAAAAAAAAUGAAACUCUAAAAUAUUUUAUCAUUACAAAAACAAGUGUCAAACAAUUACGGUUUGAGACGAUAUUAGAACAUUGCAACUGUGACUUGCAAAAAAAAAAAACAUCAAACAAAAUUAAUUCUUUAAUCUUUCAAACUAAAUCUCUUAGAAAUAGAGGCUCUGUUGUAUCGUCCUCCUCAUCGAUCUUGCAUUUUUCCUC